CAAUAGCGUAUAUUAAAGUUGUUGCAGUUAAAAAGCUCGUAGUUGAAUUUCGGGUCCCCGCGCUCGGCGCUUCAUUGUGCCGUCGUGGUGUCCCUCCUCGCCGUAAGGCGUCCUUUACUGUGAAAAAAUUAGAGUGUUCAAAGCAGGCAAUCGCUUGAAUACAUUAGCAUGGAAUAAUAAGAUAGGAUCUUGUCUAUUUUGUUGGUUGCGGACAACGAUAAUGAUUAAUAGGGGUAGUUGGGGGUGUCCGUAUUGAGCUGUCAGAGGUGAAAUUCUUGGAUUUGCUCAAGACGAACUACUGCGAAAGCAUUCACCAAGGAUGUUUUCAUUAA
rnacentral:rRNA from 1 species